rnacentral:lncRNA from 1 species
CUUUCUUUCUGAGGUUUUUAUCUGCUCUACAUAAAAUCCCAUUCACAGGAUUCCAGCACUACUGCUUGGCCUGAGUUCAUUUAUAUGAGGAGCCAUCAGAUCUUGCCCUCUCUGCUAAAAGCCUUUGUCACUUGACAGUUCCUCAGUAGGUACUACCCCGCAGCGUUCAGUCAUGGAGGAGCACCAAGAGAGAAUGAGUAGAUGAGCAGCAGAAAGGAUUGAAAUGAUAAUGCUUAAUCCCCUGACAAGCUGUGAAGAGAGUCAUCAAUUCACGCUGUCAUUGCUAUUAAUUCCUGAAUUGUGUGAUCAAUCAUGUGAAGAACUGACAAUUGUCCUAUCCCUGCACAGCGUAUUUCUGUUUGCCUCAACACUCAGAUCACUGAAUCCCAAAUGUAUGCAGGUGCCACACGGUGGUGCUCCUGACUCCACGUUGCUCAAAGGUCUGCACUGGCUGGAGGGAGUUAAAGCAGCAAGCCUACCAGAACUGGCUUUGGAAGAAGGGCAAAGAAAGUAAACCAUCCAGUGGAAUGAGGAAUGUACUUUUCUUGCCCAAUUGCUCUACUAAGUCAGAUAUGAAAAGAAUCACAGAAUCACCUUAAGAGAUCAUUGAGUCCAAACUCCCCUGAUAAAGUAGGUACCAAAAAAAUUAUAUAAUGGUAGCUUAUAAAAAUCACAAGUUUUUAUUCUUGUGCCUAUUGUUCCUUUCCCUUUUCUCUAUUUUUUUCUGUCAGUAGAAGAUUCAUCAAGGUUCAUAUUUCAGCAUCCUCCCAGAAACAGGGACAGAUACUUUUCUCUGGGUCAGUCAUGACUGUGAAAAGAAGCAAAGCAGAUGGAGAGGAGAUGCAUCUUUUCCAUGUAAGGAGGGGACCACACAUAAUUAAGAACAGCCAUGGUGGACCCAGGCAGGAGCCCUAUUCUUGGGGGUAGCCAACAGUUUGGCCUAAUGUCAGUUGAAAUAUUCCUUUUUCUUGUGAGUAAAACUUCAUGUUCAUCUAUAUCAAGGCUAUAGUUCAUUGAAAUCAGCAAGAAUGAUUUAAUUGAUUUUUGUGUCUAAUCCUGUAAACUGUAGCAUUCUGAUAGUCAAUGUUUAGCCUUAUUCAUUUAGGAGUUCUGUUCACCUCUCACUGAGAAUUUCUGAAAACCUUACUGAAAAAAUGGAUUGGGCAUUUAGCUAUUAAUGAGAAUCUUGCUUUUAAAUUGUGAGAAGAUAUCUUUUUAAUUAAUCCUCACAGAAAACAAUUGAAUGCUUGACCUACAAGGAUAAUUACUUGUGUUCUGCUUUGAUUAUUUUGUAGAAGUUUUAUUGAAUUUAUACAGCGUACUGCAUAAUAUAUGAUCUAAAAGUGGAGCUCUAUACGACAGUAUAAAGUGGAGAUUUAUACUACAGUAUAAACUUUCUAGAGAACUGACAACCAUGUUGUCUAUAUAAACCAUCAUUCUGUAAUUAGUCUUAGUAUAAUUUUUGUAGGGAUUAUCUUUGCUGUCAUUCUGUGUUGUCUUUUGUAUAUUUUUUC